rnacentral:rRNA from 1 species
AUGGGCAUGCAGUCUAUGAUGGCUGUCCGGUGCACGAACCUUGUCAACCCUGUAUGCGACUGGCUUGGUGAGAUCUACGAGCCUGCCUCCAGGGAAUUCGUGAUUCCUGGACGCGGAAGACUUCCGUUGAACGAGGAACCUGUGUUCUGCACUUUGGGUGUGCCUCUUGGACAUAUCAAAGUCUCGUACGAGGUCAAUAAUGAGAUUGAGGAAGCUAUGUUCGCCCGUUUGUUUCCUGGAUUGGAGUCCAUGCCGAACACGUCUGUACUGGCAGAUUCGCUGCAGGCCAUGACGACGCACGGAGAUGUUUUCAAGAUGAAGCUACUCAUGUACCUCAUCUCAGCUGUUUUCACGCCGACCACUUCCCUUCGCCCAAGCAACAAGUGUUUCCCCAUCCUGGCGAAUUUGAAAAAUGUGAAGAACAUGAACUGGUGUAAGUUUAUUGCCGACUUUCUCCAUGAUGCUUUCAAAAACAAGAUGUAUCAGAAGGGUGUCGACUACAUUUAA